GUGAUGAAUAUAGAAAUCCAUCAUUAUGUUCUGCCAUCGACUCCUUUCCAUUCCUUCAUAAAGAAGAAAGGAAAUUGAAAAGCAGUGGACAUAUUGGUGAGCAGAAGAAAAAUUGAAUAUGAGAAAGAGUGCAGAAGUGAAAACAGAGGGUGAAUCGGGAGGAAGGGAGUGAGAGGUUGUGAGUGUGAGGAGGUGUGCAGACCAUUCUUUUUGAGAGGUAAGCCAUUUCUGGUGAUUUUCUAAUGAUGUUUAGGUUCCUCUUAAACUAUUCAAUUAUCCCCAGCUCCCUUUCUAAAACAGAAACAAAUUGAACUCAACCAGGCUCUGUUUCUGCUGCACCUUCGGACAGUACAUUUCCCCAUAUGAUAAUGAAGAUCUGCCUCUGGAUGCAUGUUUGGAUCCAUUCCACAAGGACUAGAAUAAGAUGACUUUUAUAUAUUUUGAAUAGAGGCAAAAGAAUUGUAUUUUGUUAGUUAACUCAAACUGAUGUAUAUAUCUAGAUAGUUAACUUUUGCCUCAAAAUAUUGAAUGCGAGUUUGUAAGGGAUGGAAUGUUCAGCCGUAGUAUAUUUGAAAAUAAAAUUUUAUUUAAUAGUUGGAUUGGA